rnacentral:tRNA from 1 species
GGAGAGAUGGCUCAGGGGUUAAGAGCACUGGCUGCUCUUCCAGAGGACCUGGGUUCAAAUCCCAGCACCC